rnacentral:rRNA from 1 species
GUUGAACGCUGGCGGCGUGCCUAAUACAUGCAAGUCGAGCGACGCGGGGACGGGGGAGUAACACGUGGAUAAAAUCCUAUAUGACUGGGAUAACCUCGGGAAAACGGAGCUAAAACGGCUACUUAUAGAUGGAUCCGCGGUGCAUUAGCUAGUGGGUAGGGUAACGGCUUACAAAGGCAACGAGGCAUAGCCGACCUGAGCGUGUGAUCCGCCACACUGGAGCUGAUACACGGUCCAGACUCCUACGUGAGGCAGCAGUGGGGAAUCUUGCGCAAUGGGCGAAAGCCUGACGGAGCCACGCCGCGUGAGUGAUGAAGGUCUUCGGGUCGUAAAGUUCUGUUAGUAGGGAAGCGUUACCUAAACAAAAAGCAACGGCUAACUACGUGCCAGCAGCCGCGGUAAUAC